UUUUGAACACAGGCCGACUUGGACGGAACAAUAUUUUUUCGCGUCUAAUUUUACAAUUCAAAAAAGCCGCAUUUGAUACGUUUCCAUGGAGGAAAUAUGCAGAGUUUGCAUGGGUUCCCAUGCAUUCGGACCGUUCACAAACAUUUUUGUGGAGCGCCAAGAACUUGUCAUUACCAUUGCUGUAAUGAUUGAAGAUGUUACCGGGUACCAGGUUCGGCGGGGGGACUCGCUACCAGAAGUCGUAUGCCCGCCCUGUCUUCACGAUGCAGAGAAUGCUUUUAGGCUUGUGAGAACCUGUAAGCAGAACGAAAAACUCCAUUUCUCACGAAUGGAGCAGAAUAAAGAAGAAGACAUAUCUUGCGACCAGAC